GAGACAGGAAUGAACCGGAAGGUCAACCUCCUGUUAAACGCCGACUUUCUUCUGCGGUUGUCAGGGUAGAGGAGGAGGGAGAAUUGAUUCAGGAUGAUCCUGCUCAUGCACCGAAGAGUGUUAACACUAAUGGGACCAGUGCUACUAAUCGAAUAUCCCGCUUUCUGGUAACUAGAGUUUCACAUCAAUAUUUUGUUGAUAAAGGAAUAGUUUUGGUAGAAUUUCUGAAUCCAUUCUUUUUAACUGUUUAUUCGGACUACAAUAUUUAUCUAAAUGUGACUUAAUUGUAUUAUACACAGUUCGUUGAUGCCGGAACGAUGGUUUCUCCUACAGUCUAUGCACGACGUAGUCUGUGUUAUCUUAUUAACGACAUAUAUCAAGAAGCGCUGAACGAUGCAGUACAGACAAGAAUGAUUUCCCCUGUAUGGCACAUUGCAUUUUAUCUUGAAUCUGUUGUACUUGGAGGACUUGGAAUGGAGAAUGAAGCACAAGUAGCAAUUAAAGAAGCUACAACACUUGAAUCUAAGAGGAGUUCAAAUGCUAAACAAAAGUGAAUAAGGCUUUGUACAGAUACAAACCUUUCUUGCUGAUUUAUGUUCUGCAUGAUGAUGAUGACAACCACCACCCCCACAAGAUUAAUUAUUACAAAGAUUUCAUCUUUGAAUUACACCAUAGAUCCACAACAACAAAGUUGAAUGUGUUUUUUUAAGACUAAUACUUUAAGGAACAGUGAUUGGAUUAGAUGAGUGUUGGUUAUGACACACCCCUUCCCCUUUUUUGUUGGGCUGGUUAGGAUGUUCAAUUUAGUUUAUGAUUUGAUUCAUUGAAGCAUGGCUCCUUAUUUCUGGCAAAAUUUUUCA